rnacentral:lncRNA from 1 species
CAGGGAAAGGGGAAAACAGCAACCUCUUGAGCUGGAGCCUUAGGCUAGAAAAGAUCACUGAUUACCCACCUGUUCCCCCUGGAUACUAGGGCUUCAAUCCAGAAGGUGCUGUGAUGAAGUGGCUUCAGCAAAAUAUUACCUGAGACAUCCUGAUCCAUUAUGAGAACGGCAGCAGCAGGAUUUGGCCUGGGGAUGGAACAAAGGGACCCCCUGCUGUAGAGCAAGGGAUGCAGCAUCCUCGUGGCUGUUCACAUACCAUUGCACUGGGAUAUGUCUCUCUUCACUCUCCAUUUCCC